ensembl:lincRNA Gm11431 predicted gene 11431
AAUGUUGACAGUACCACAGGCUCCCGGAGAGCAAACCUUCCAGUCCCUCUGUGUUUCCUGCCACUGCUCUGUACCUGGAUCGCUGCUUGGUGCACAGGCAGCAUGCGCUGUCUUCAGGACCUGCUUCCUCAGGAGAGUUUAUCCUGGGUUAACCUUACCCAGGUUGUCUCCCUUGGAAGCCCUUGAAGGUACAGACACUGGUGACUCAGGCUUUGGAACUCUCCCAAGAGAGUGAAUCUUCUGAGCUUCAGAACUUCUGGGCUUGGGGGUGUGGCUCAGCAGGUGAAGGUGCUCACAGCAUCCAAGUCGACCCACGUGACGGAAGGUGUGCAAACUUCUCAGAAGAUUGUCCUUUGGCCUCCACAGCCACAGUGGGAUGUGUGCACACCAUACACAUACACAAAACAAAUAAAUGGAAAUUAAAAGUA